rnacentral:snoRNA from 1 species
CAGUAUAUAUGAGCAGUGUUAUUUCUUAUGUGCUAUACAAAUAGUUGAAGGUUAAUUAAGGUUAAUUAGCAGUGUAACUAAAUAGUAAUGCUGCCAAUCUCCUUCAGACAAAC